UACGUAGGGGGCAAGCGUUAUCCGGAAUUACUGGGCGUAAAGCGCACGCAGGCGGUCUGUUAAGUUUGACGUGAAAGCUCCCGGCUUAACUGGGAGAGGUCGUUGAAGACUGGCAGACUUGAGGCGAUGAGAGGGGUGUAGAAUUCCCGGUGUAGUGGUGGAAUGCGUAGAUAUCGGGGGGAAUACCAGUGGCGAAAGCGGCACCCUAGCGUUAGCCUGACGCUCAUGUGCGAAAGCGUGGGGAGCGAACGGG
rnacentral:rRNA from 1 species